rnacentral:tRNA from 1 species
GGGGCUGUAGCUCAGUGGCAGAGCCCUUGCCUAGCAUGUAUGAGGUACUGGGUUUGAUCCUCAGCACUACA